rnacentral:tRNA from 8 species
CGGUCGUUAGCUCAGUUGGUAGAGCAGUUGACUUUUAAUCAAUUGGUCGCAGGUUCGAAUCCUGCACGACCCACCA